rnacentral:lncRNA from 1 species
UGGACAUUCUUAAAAAUGCCUCACAAUAAUAUCUCACCAACGUACUUCCGUCAAAAAUUACAGAUGACAUUGUCAAGGUCUGAUCCACAGAAACAAUCAUUUAAAGAAAUUAUGACAGUUCUGAUGCUAUCCCUGGAUAUUCUAGCUGCAUAUCAGCUUCAAAAUAUUUUAUUGUAUCAUUAUUCACACUAAAAGAAGAAGAAACAAAAGAAAAUUACUUUGUGGAAGCUGAAAUAAAUUUACCAUACUGAUAACCGAAAUUGCCAGUGUCCC